CUCGCUUUCAUAAUCAUAAACUGUCAGAAGAUUUUUAACGGACAUGAAGGGGUAAGAUUCUGCUAGAAGUUUGAAAGCAGAUGUUCUGUUUGCUGUGAACACCAUACCGUAAUCAUUUUCUGAAAUAUUCAAAAAGUCCAUGAUCCUUUUCUUCAUUGCGGAUUCCAAUCCUGAUUCUUGCCCUCCAUGAAGCAGCUGUGUCUUCAGAUUCCCUGUCUUGUAUGACACACUAAAGAAAGGAAUAUCCAAAUUUUGAGAAGGCAAUGAAGGCCGUAAAUGAGAAGGAGAAGAUUCCUGUUUAUGCAACUGGUUAUAGGAAAACAAACCAAUACCGAAAUAAUCAAGGCAGGUAUGAUUGGAGAGCGAGAGCUGAUAGUACUCUUUUGCUCGUAUUUGGUCAAUUUGAUAUGUAUCAAAGUACUGAGGGUAGGCUUUUGUGAAUUCAGUUAAAGAUUGUUGCAAAGAUGGGAGAGACUCAUGGUUGGUGAAUUGAGUGUCUGGGAAGAUGGAGGAAGCAGUUACUGCUGCAAAGUCGCGGCGACAAUCCGCAGAAGUGUUUCUGGACUUGGAGACUUUGUGGAGGGGAUCAGGUGAUAAGCUGAAGAAAGGAGACGGACAGCAGCCACCGUGGGUGCAUAGGCAUGCUUGUGAGACCUCUCUCAAGCAAGGUGACUGCAUUUUCUCUCUUUCUUUUCUUCUUGUUUCUUUCAAUCAAAUUUCAUCGCUUAUAUGGAGCAUUAUUAUUAUUAUUAUUUUGUCUUUAUUGGCUUAGACAACAGCAUCUGUUUUACUUUGCCUUGAUUGCUUUCAUACUUGCUGGUUGAUGUGGGCAUGGUGUAAACCCAUUGAAUAAGUCUGGUUGAUGUGGGCAUGGUGUAAACCCAUUGAAUAAGUCUGGUCAAAUUUUGCUCCUCAUGACUCAUGAGCACUUCACAGUCACCAUAGUGCACCAUAGUGCCAUACACUCAAGAAAGUCUUGCUCAAGAGAAUUCAAAUUGAUCAUAAAGUUUGUCUAAUCACAAACAAUUCCCGUGUUUACUAACAUGUUUGUGAAACAUGAACAAUGGCGAUGAUGCAUGUGUUUAGAAAAUCUUAAUGAUAAAUUGUAAACUAUACGCCAUUUGGUAUCGUGUUGCUCUGAAGUUUUAAGAAUCAAGAAAAAGUUAAUAGAGGUUUGGUAAACACUACCAAUUGUCCAGUAAAAAUUAUUCGUUAUUAUUCUUAUUUAUUAUAUUUUCAAUAAUAGGAAAUGAUUAGUGAUAUUGCUAAAGUCAAGUAACAAAUAUCUUACUAAAUACUUGGACAACAAACCUUCUAAAACAAUAAAAUAGAAUAGAAUAAAACAAAUGGAGCCUAAAAGGAGUAGCUGGCAAGGCAGUUGUAAUGGCUAUUCUUUGAAGGUAAUAUCUGAGUUGUGUUGUUUGAUGGGAAGGAGGCGAAAAUUGAAAGCAACAAGCAGAAGUGGACGACAAAAGCCGCUUUUAUGUUGGCCGGGCAAUAGUAUCAUUGCUGUACAAAAAGAGCUUCUUUAUCAAUUAUAAUGCUUCUCAAUUGCUUCCUGUUGAAGGUUUCUGAAAUUGCUUGUAUAAAAAUAAUGGCCAUGAGUGCUGUCCUAUAAACUAUCAAAUGAUUCCCUGCCAAAUGUCAUAUCUUUUCCUGUAAUCACUCCGA
rnacentral:lncRNA from 1 species